UAGCUGGAAUCCCAGAUAGCAUUCCGACGUUGGCCCAACGUUGGCAAUGGUUGGCAACGUCGCGGUCGGAUUUCAUACGUUGGCCAGACGUUGGCCCAACAUCGGGGAAGCAUCGCGGAUAUUUUAUUCAAGGGACGCUACUCCAAACUGUUAGCUUUUCCUAGAGGGCGCUCAGAUUCUUCGAGCACACGACGCGACAUGAUAACAAGCUUGGCCAUCGGAGUACAGGUUUCCUCGAAUAUAUAGCGGUGAUGUUUACAGUUUGUGGCAGCAUAGUCACUUGAAGUACAGAACAUGGAGUGGUGAUUCCAACUGCUGUACCCAUACAAAAGAGGCCAAGGCACAAGCACAGACCUUGUAUACAGAUGA
rnacentral:lncRNA from 1 species